rnacentral:rRNA from 1 species
UGGGGAAUAUUGCGCAAUGGGCGAAAGCCUGACGCAGCGACGCCGCGUGAGGGAUGAAGGCAUUCGGGUUGUAAACCUCUUUCAGCAGGGACGAAGCGAAAGUGACGGUACCUGCAGAAGAAGCACCGGCCAACUACGUGCCAGCAGCCGCGGUAAUACGUAGGGUGCAAGCGUUGUCCGGAAUUAUUGGGCGUAAAGAGCUCGUAGGCGGUCUGUCGCGUCGGCUGUGAAAACUCGGGGCUCAACCCCGAGCCUGCAGUCGAUACGGGCAGACUAGAGUCCGGCAGGGGAGACUGGAAUUCCUGGUGUAGCGGUGAAAUGCGCAGAUAUCAGGAGGAACACCGGUGGCGAAGGCGGGUCUCUGGGCCGGAACUGACGCUGAGGAGCGAAAGCGUGGGGAGCGAACAGG